UAAGGAAUAUUGGUCAAUGGACGCAAGUCUGAACCAGCCAUGCCGCGUGAAGGAUGAAGGUCCUCUGGAUUGUAAACUUCUUUUAUCUGGGACGAAAACGGGAUUUUUAUCUCAAUUGACGGUACCAGAGGAAUAAGCACCGGCUAACUCCGUGCCAGCAGCCGCGGUAAUACGGAGGGUGCGAGCGUUAUCCGGAUUUACUGGGUUUAAAGGGUGCGUAGGUGGGCUUAUAAGUCAGUGGUGAAAUCUCCGAGCUUAACUUGGAAACUGCCGUUGAUACUAUAGGUCUUGAAUUAUCUGGAGGUAAGCGGAAUAUGUCAUGUAGCGGUGAAAUGCUUAGAUAUGACAUAGAACACCAAUUACGAAGGCAGCUUACUACAUAUAAAUUGACGCUGAGGCACGAAAGCGUGGGGAUCAAACA
rnacentral:rRNA from 1 species